UCUCUCUCUGCAACUCUGCCCCUCUCCUCUCUCUCUCCUCCAAAUCGCCUUUCCCUCUCAUCGAAAUUGAUGCCGGAGAUGACGAAGCAGGCGACGGAGAUCACGAAGACGACGACAGAGGUGUGAGGGAGCACAGGCGGCGAUGGUUGGGGCUUCCUCCGAAGUUGUGGUCGUCUCUACGAGAAACAGAAGCAGCAACAACGGUGGUGGCGCCUAAGGGGGAGGAAAAGAGGAGAGAGAAAGAAUGGAUUACGAGGUUGAGUCUCAAACCCUAAUUUAAUGGCUGCUACACCGAUUCUUGCCGCCGAUCUCUCUUCCGACGAUCUCUCUCGGUUGACUUUAUAAUCGCCUAUAGUUGCGGGCUGCUGCGGUGGAUUGAGUUGGUAUUUUGGACUCGACUUUUGGUCCCGCGCUUGGUGGUGCCGAAGGUGAGAUUUGAUUUGGUUUGGAGCCGGCUGUGGUCUCGCGUCUCAAGGCUUGCAAGGAAGAUGUGGUGCAGGGCCUUGGUGCAAUUGGUACAAUCGGUACUACCUGCCGAUGUUGUUGUUGUUGUUGUUCGCGGAGGAGCAAUGGUGCGGUAAUCCUUGUUGUACGUUCUUCUAGUCUGGCUGGAGGUCGCCCCUGAUUUUCGUCGCCGGAGCUGCUUCUGCUGUUGAUGUUGAGAGUUAAGCUAAAGGUUGGGGUCCAACCUUUUGGUUUUUUCACCCUUUAGGACCUCAACCUUUUUUCUUCACCUUUUGGGGACUCAUGUUCAUUUUUCGGCCAGUUAACCAUAGUUUAACUCACCGUUUACCAUACUAUCACUCAAACAAUAUAUUAAGACAAAGGUUAGGGUCCAACUUUUUGAUUUUUUCACCGUUUAGGACCUGAAUAUUUUUUUCACCUUUUGGGACCUCAUAUCCAUAUUUUGUACACCAACUUAUUUACUAUAAAAAAAAAAUCAGGAAAUGCAAAAAAAAAAAUUAUCGCUCAAAUUAAUAAUUAUAAUAAUAGUUAUUAAUAUUUUUAUUUUUAUUAAUUAUUAUGUAAUAAUUGUUAUUAAUAUAUUUAACAAUAAU